GGAGUGGUAGUUCAGUUGGUUAGAAUACCGGCCUGUCACGCCGGGGGUCGCGGGUUCGAGUCCCGUCCACUCCGCCACUUAUAUUAAGAUUAAGCCUCAGUCGAAAGACUGAGGCUUUUUCGUUUUA
rnacentral:tRNA from 1 species